rnacentral:tRNA from 2 species
GGGUCGUUAGCUCAGUUGGUAGAGCAGUUGACUUUUAAUCAAUUGGUGGCAGGUUCGAAUCCUGCACGACCCACCA